rnacentral:rRNA from 1 species
AAUCUGGCACCUUCGGUGUCCGAGUUGUAAUCUCUAGAAAUGUUUUCCGCGUUGGACCGCACACAAGUCUGUUGGAAUACAGCGGCAUAGUGGUGAGACCCCCGUAUAUGGUGCGGACGCCCAGCGCUUUGUGAUACAUUUUCGAAGAGUCGAGUUGUUUGGGAAUGCAGCUCAAAUUGGGUGGUAAAUUCCAUCUAAAGCUAAAUAUUGGCGAGAGACCGAUAGCGAACAAGUACCGUGAGGGAAAGAUGAAAAGCACUUUGGAAAGAGAGUUAACAGUACGUGAAAUUGUUGGAAGGGAAACGCUUGAAGUCAGACUUGCUUGCCGAGCAAUCGGUUUGCAGGCCAGCAUCAGUUUUCCGGGAUGGAUAAUGGUAGAGAGAAGGUAGCAGUUUCGGCUGUGUUAUAGCUCUCUGCUGGAUACAUCUUGGGGGACUGAGGAACGCAGUGUGCCUUUGGCGGGGGUUU